rnacentral:rRNA from 1 species
GUGGGGAAUCUUGCGCAAUGGGCGAAAGCCUGAUGCAGCCAUGCCGCGUGAAUGAUGAAGGUCUUAGGAUUGUAAAAUUCUUUCACCGGGGACGAUAAUGACGGUACCCGGAGAAGAAGCCCCGGCUAACUUCGUGCCAGCAGCCGCGGUAAUACGAAGGGUGCAAGCGUUGCUCGGAAUUACUGGGCGUAAAGGGCGCGUAGGCGGACAGUUUAGUCAGAGGUGAAAGCCCAGGGCUCAACCUUGGAAUUGCCUUUGAUACUGGCUGUCUUGAGUACGGGAGAGGUGAGUGGAACUCCGAGUGUAGAGGUGAAAUUCGUAGAUAUUCGGAAGAACACCAGUGGCGAAGGCGACUCACUGGCCCGUUACUGACGCUGAGGCGCGAAAGCGUGGGGAGCAAACAGGAUUAGAUACCCGAGUAGUCC